GCAAGCCUGACGGAGCAAUACCGCGUGAGGGAGGAAGGCCUUUGGGUUGUAAACCUCUUUUCUUAAGGAAGAAGAUCUGACGGUACUUAAGGAAUCAGCAUCGGCUAACUCCGUGCCAGCAGCCGCGGUAAUACGGAGGAUGCAAGCGUUAUCCGGAAUUAUUGGGCGUAAAGCGUCCGCAGGCGGCACUAUAAGUCUGCUGUCAAAGACCGCAGCUCAACUGCGGAAAGGCAGUGGAAACUGUAGAGCUAGAGUACGGUAGGGGUAGAGGGAAUUCCCAGUGUAGCGGUGAAAUGCGUAGAGAUUGGGAAGAACACCAGUGGCGUAAGCGCUCUACUGGGCCGUAACUGACGCUCAGGGACGAAAGCUAGGGGAGCG
rnacentral:rRNA from 1 species